UGUUUGAGUUCGGGGGCUUGACGUUUGGGGGUUUAGGGUUGCUGCAGGUAUAGUAUUUCUGUUGCUACAGGUAAAGUACUUUGGUUGCUACAGGUAUAGUAUUUUUGUUGCUACAGGUA